UGGAAAGUAACUACUUUUUCCUUUUGCUUGG
rnacentral:piRNA from 1 species